UUGGGGUGAUUUUUUUUUUUUUUAUUUUAACAUGCUUUUCUCUUUUUUCUUUCCCAGAACAUCAUAGUUUCUCUAAUAUAUCCCUGGCAUCCUUUUGGCUAGGGGGAGAUUUGAAUGCCAAGGAAGGCCACAGUGUUAGUCAGUCUUUGUCAUUCAAAAAUAGGAUUAUGCAGCAGGACAGUAGCCUUGCUUGCAAGGCAGGAUUCUUCAAUAUUUUUUUUUAAUUACUCCUUUAUACCAGUAAGCAAACUUGGAGAAUCUAUUCCCAAAAAUUUUACAGGGAUGUGGAGUAGACACUUUUGUCUACCAUUAAGGCUUAGCUGGAGUCAGAAAGAAAGAUAUAAUUAGGGGUCACAAAAGGUUUUUACCUGAUGCUCUUUUUUUUGUUAUUGUUGUUGUUUUGUUUUUGUUUUUGUUUUUUUGACCUUGAGGGAUUAAGGAAGAAGAAGGGGAACAGAGAAGCAGAUGACAAGAGGCUCACAUGGGUGUCCCAAUUUCCCUUCUCUGGACUUUGACUUGGAGAGGGUGCAAGUACAUUAGAGAGAACACUGAGAACAAGAGAGGAGACAUUGACUUUGCUUCCCAUUUAACACUGUGCAAGAGGCCACCUCUUGAAUUGCCCCCUGCCCUAAACUGUAGUAUAGCCAUGGCAACUGGACAGCUUGGUGUGGUUGGGCAGAGGGACGUAUCUUCGCCAUCUUGGGCUGCCAUAACAAAAUUCCAUAGAUUGAGUGAUUUAAACAACAGAAGUUAAUUUUCUCAAAGUUCUGGGGGCCAGGAAGUCCAAGAUCAAGGUGCUGGCUGAUUCAAUUUCUGAUGAGAGCUCUCUUCCUGGCUUGCAGAUGGCUGCCUUGCUGUGUCCUCAUAUGGUGGAGAGCGAGGGAAUGGCCUCCCUGGUGUCUCUUCUUAUAAGGGCACUAAUUCUAUCAGAUUAUGGCUCCACCCUUAUGACCUCAUUUAACUUUAAUUACCUCCUUAAAGGCCCUAUCUGUAAAUAUAGUUACAUUGAGGGUUAGGCUUUGUGUUAGUCUGUUCUCACGCUGCUAAUAAAGACAUACCUGAGACUGGAUAGUUUAUAAAAGAAAGAGGUUUAAUUGACUCACAGUUCCAUAUGGCUGGGGAGGCCUCACAGUCAUGGUGAACGGGGAAUGAGGAGCAGUCACGUCUUACUAACGGUGGCAGGCAAGACAGCUUGUUCAGGAAAAUUCCCGUUUAUAAAACCAUCAGAUCUCCUGAGACUACAAUGAGAACAGUAUGGAGGAAACCACCCCCUUGAUUCAGUUAUCUCCAUCUGGCCCUGCUCUUGACACAUGGGGAUUAUUAUAAUCCAGGGUGAGAUUUGGGUGGGGACACAGCCAAACCACAUCAGGCUUCAAUAUGUGACUUUUGGGGGUACAAAGUUCAGUCCAUAGCAAUUCAGUCCUUUGGAAUUUAGCAUCCUGGAGCUGCCCUGGGAUCCUGAAUGGUCUACGUCAACCCAGAGGUGGCUGAGGAUGUGGCUGAAGAGUUUCCUAGCAGGGGCCACAGUACCAGAGUGAGGUACCAGACCUGCAUCCUGCUUAAAAAUCCAGCAUGCACCCUGGAGAAUUGCUGGCACUUGGCAAAUAUUUAUUGAAAUGAGCCGUUGGGCUGUAUCUUCUUUUUGCAUGUGUAAUAGGAGUGUCCCUUGUUCUCCAGCCUUCAGGAGUCACCCUUUCCUUGAACGUCCUCUGAAUAUCAGCCCCAGAUCUGUAGGAAGUCCACUUGAGUCUUCAGUAAAUGCUGAUAUGUUCUUUUUCUUUGAGACGGCGUCUCGCUGCUGACUCCCAGGCUGGAAUACUCUGGCGUGAUCUUUGCUCACUGCAACCUCCACCGCCUGGGUUCAAGCGAUUCUCCUGCCUCAGCCUCCUGAGUAACUGGGACUACAGGUGAUGCUGAUGCUGCUGUUCAGAGGACCACAUUUUGAGAACCACUGACCUCACCCCCAAACCAGCUUGGAGAUGAUGCACCCCAUCCCAGUAUAAUAUUUUACUCUUCAUAAUGGGUAGGCAGACCUGCUUUUUCUAAAAUAUCCUUGCAGCCAGCAGCCAGGUCCAUCUGUUUGUUCAUACAGUAGCAAGAUGUCCAACAACUCCCUAAGGAACUUAAUGAGCAACUUGGAUCCAAUUCUUCAUUGUCUGUCAGAGGAAAGGCAUCCAUGCUUGGUAAUGAGCCUUUGGAUGCUCUACCCGGCUCUGUGGCCAGAACAAAGCGCCUUGUUAUCUCCCUGACAAGGAGCCUACUUUAUGGUGUUGGACAAAACACCUAGCACGUCAUUCUCCCAAACAGCACAAACUCAUACCCAAUGAAACUGGGGGAGCAACGGGUGGUUCUUUCUACUCUCAGAAACCUGUUUAUUUCCAUCUUGGUGGUGUGGAGAGGGUGUUGUAUGUUGCACAUUGUGCAAAGGCCUGGGACAUGAUGGCCGCUGCUCCCACUCACCCAUCUCAUCAGCAUGUUGUAGACAUCUGCAGAGUCCUACACCGAACUGAGCAUGCUGGGGGGUGGGGGGUGACAAUGAUGAAAUGCAUCCAGAACCUGUUUCAAGGCCAGGCCUGUGACACAGCUCCAGACUAGAUGCAUAGUGAAGGCUCAGGAAAUGUCGGCCAUGAUUCUUUUGUUUUGUUUUCAGACGGAGUCUCACUCUGUCACCCAGGCUGGAGUGCACUGGCGUGAUCUCAGCUCAUUGCAACUUCUGCCUCCCGGGUUCAAGUGAUUCUCAUGCCUCAGCCUCCCCAGUAGCUGGGAUUACAGGUACAUGCCACCUCGCCCAGCUGAUUUUUGUAUUUCUUUUUUAGUAGAGACAGGGUUUUACCAUGUUGGCCAGGCUGGUCAUGAACUUCUGGCCUCAAGUGAUCUGCCUGCCUCGGCCUCGCAGAGUGCUGGUAUUACAGGAGUGAGACACGGUGCUCUGCCGAUUCUUAUGGGUAUGAUUAAGAAGAACAUCCCAAUCACAGCCUGGAAUAGAACACUUUCGUGAUACAAUUCACAACCUCCUUCUGGGAGGACAUGAGCAUUCCUGAUAAAUGCUGAAGCAAUUUUCUGAUAAACUUUAACAAGAUUAAAACCUCUUUGGGGAAAUUAGCUACCCAAACCAUUUGGAUGAUUAUCAUACAUUCUUUGUCUUGUAUUCAGUUUAAUAAUGAUUAUCCAACCAUUCUCUUUUCCUUUGAAAUAUCCAUAACAAAAGGGAACUACUGACUUGGCUUUGUGACAAGCUUAAAAUAAAACUUCAACACAUGCUUAUAAUUAA